rnacentral:rRNA from 1 species
GUGGCGAAGGCGGCCCCCUGGACAAAGACUGACGCUCAGGUGCGAAAGCGUGGGGGAGCAAACAGGAUUAGAUACCCUGGUAGUCCACGCCGUAAACGAUGUCGACUUGGAGGUUGUGCCCUUGAGGCGUGGCUUCCGGAGCUAACGCGUUAAGUCGACCGCCUGGGGAGUACGGCCGCAAGGUUAAAACUCAAAUGAAUUGACGGGGGCCCCGCACAAGCGGUGGAGCAUGUGGUUUAAUUCGAUGCAACGCGAAGAACCUUACCUACUCUUGACAUCCAGAGAACUUUCCAGAGAUGGAUUGGUGCCUUCGGGAACUCUGAGACAGGUGCUGCAUGGCUGUCGUCAGCUCGUGUUGUGAAAUGUUGGGUUAAGUCCCGCAACGAGCGCAACCCUUAUCCUUUGUUGCCAGCGGUCCGGCCGGGAACUCAAAGGAGACUGCCAGUGAUAAACUGGAGGAAGGUGGGGAUGACGUCAAGUCAUCAUGGCCCUUACGAGUAGGGCUACACACGUGCUACAAUGGCGCAUACAAAGAGAAGCGACCUCGCGAGAGCAAGCGGACCUCAUAAAGUGCGUCGUAGUCCGGAUUGGAGUCUGCAACUCGACUCCAUGAAGUCGGAAUCGCUAGUAAUCGUAGAUCAGAAUGCUACGGUGAAUACGUUCCCGGGCCUUGUACACACCGCCCGUCACACCAUGGGAGUGGGUUGCAAAAGAAGUAGGUAGCU